GAGUCACGAAGAGUUUGAUCCUGGCUCAGGAUGAACGCUGGCGGCGUGCUUAACACAUGCAAGUCGAACGGGAUCCAUCAGGCUUUGCUUGGUGGUGAGAGUGGCGAACGGGUGAGUAAUGCGUGACCGACCUGCCCCAUACACCGGAAUAGCUCCUGGAAACGGGUGGUAAUGCCGGAUGCUCCGACUCCUCGCAUGGGGUGUCGGGAAAGAUUUCAUCGGUAUGGGAUGGGGUCGCGUCCUAUCAGGUAGUCGGCGGGGUAACGGCCCACCGAGCCUACGACGGGUAGCCGGCCUGAGAGGGCGACCGGCCACAUUGGGACUGAGAUACGGCCCAGACUCCUACGGGAGGCAGCAGUGGGGAAUAUUGCACAAUGGGCGCAAGCCUGAUGCAGCGACGCCACGUGCGGGAUGACGGCCUUCGGGUUGUAAACCGCUUUUGAUCGGGAGCAAGCCUUCGGGUGAGUGUACCUUUCGAAUAAGCACCGGCUAACUACGUGCCAGCAGCCGCGGUAAUACGUAGGGUGCAAGCGUUAUCCGGAAUUAUUGGGCGUAAAGGGCUCGUAGGCGGUUCGUCGCGUCCGGUGUGAAAGUCCAUCGCUUAACGGUGGAUCUGCGCCGGGUACGGGCGGGCUGGAGUGCGGUAGGGGAGACUGGAAUUCCCGGUGUAACGGUGGAAUGUGUAGAUAUCGGGAAGAACACCAAUGGCGAAGGCAGGUCUCUGGGCCGUUACUGACGCUGAGGAGCGAAAGCGUGGGGAGCGAACAGGAUUAGAUACCCUGGUAGUCCACGCCGUAAACGGUGGAUGCUGGAUGUGGGGCCCGUUCCACGGGUUCCGUGUCGGAGCUAACGCGUUAAGCAUCCCGCCUGGGGAGUACGGCCGCAAGGCUAAAACUCAAAGAAAUUGACGGGGGCCCGCACAAGCGGCGGAGCAUGCGGAUUAAUUCGAUGCAACGCGAAGAACCUUACCUGGGCUUGACAUGUUCCCGACAGCCGUAGAGAUAUGGCCUCCCUUCGGGGCGGGUUCACAGGUGGUGCAUGGUCGUCGUCAGCUCGUGUCGUGAGAUGUUGGGUUAAGUCCCGCAACGAGCGCAACCCUCGCCCUGUGUUGCCAGCACGUCAUGGUGGGAACUCACGGGGGACCGCCGGGGUCAACUCGGAGGAAGGUGGGGAUGACGUCAGAUCAUCACGCCCCUUACGUCCAGGGCUUCACGCAUGCUACAAUGGCCGGUACAACGGGAUGCGACACGGCGACGUGGAGCGGAUCCCUGAAAACCGGUCUCAGUUCGGAUUGGAGUCUGCAACCCGACUCCAUGAAGGCGGAGUCGCUAGUAAUCGCGGAUCAGCAACGCCGCGGUGAAUGCGUUCCCGGGCCUUGUACACACCGCCCGUCAAGUCAUGAAAGUGGGUAGCACCCGAAGCCGGUGGCCUAACCCUUUGUGGAUGGAGCCGUCUAAGGUGAGACUCGUGAUUGGGACUAAGUCGUAACAAGGUAGCCGUAG
rnacentral:rRNA from 1 species